CUGGUUUCACUAUCAUGUCAGGUCUUUGAACCUGCCAGGAUUUGGGAUGGUUUCCUUCGUUCCACUACACCGUGCUUUGAUUCUAGCUUGAUUACAAUGAGAUCAAAUUUCUAAGACGUAAGGACAUAGAGACCAAUUUUUUUUUUGUCUUUAUACCCCGUACAAAACCCAGCCAAGCAACGUUCACGCAUAACCCGAGUUCCUUCCCGCCUCUGUUAAAGGGCUUCUUUCUUUCCCUUAUCCAAGCCCUCACAGUGGAGAGAGAAACAAGCAGAAAUCUACUAGCAAGCCAGCUGUCUAUCCUUAGUGAAAAACACAAACAAACUGUGACACACUCAUGAAAUGGAAUUUUACCUGCGUGAAAAAUCCUCAGACCACAGCUGCAAGCAACAAUCCGUGACCUCUCACUGGGAGCUGGGAUCGGCCGUGCCAGGAGCCAGUGGAAACCAGGAAACUUACACCAUGGAAACCAGGAAACGCUGCAGACCAGAGCCUUUCCUGCCCCCUUAUCAAACUGGUUAUUAGUUACAGCACACCAAUGAAGCCAGCAAAGAUUUUAGAGCCUAAGAUGAAGAUUUUCCAUAUCGUGGGCUGAAGUCAAACAACAGAUG
rnacentral:lncRNA from 1 species